rnacentral:rRNA from 1 species
AAUGAACGCUGGCGGCGCGCCUAAUACAUGCAAGUCGAGCGAGAAGACGUAGCAAUACGUUUGUAAAGCGGCGAACGGGUGAGGAAUACAUGGGUAACCUACCCUAGAGUGGGGAAUAACUAGCCGAAAGGCUAGCUAAUACCGCGUACGCUCCUUGGACUUCGGUUCAGGGAGGAAAGCGAUGCCGAGGGUAUCGCGCUCUUGGAUGGGCUCAUGUCCUAUCAGCUUGNGGUGAGGUAACGGCUCACCAAGGCUUCGACGGGUAGCUGGUCUGAGAGGACGAUCAGCCACACUGGCACUGCGACACGGGCCAGACUCCUACGGGAGGCAGCAGUAAGGAAUAUUGCGCAAUGGGCGAAAGCCUGACGCAGCGACGCCGCGUGGGGGAUGAAGGUCUUCGGAUUGUAAACCCCUUUCGGGAGGGAAGAUGGAAUGGGGUAACCCAUUCGGACGGUACCUCCAGAAGCAGCCACGGCUAACUUCGUGCCAGCCGCCGCGGUAAG